UGGCGAACGGGUGAGUAACACGUGGGUGAUCUGCCCUGCACUUUGGGAUAAGCCUGGGAAACUGGGUCUAAUACCGAAUACACCCUUCUGGCUGCAUGGUCUGGUUGGGGAAAGCUUUUGCGGUGUGGGAUGGGCCCGCGGCCUAUCAGCUUGUUGGUGAGGUUACGGCUCACCAAGGCGACGACGGGUAGCCGGCCUGAGAGGGUGACCGGCCACACUGGGACUGAGAUACGGCCCAGACUCCUACGGGAGGCAGCAGUGGGGAAUAUUGCACAAUGGGCGCAAGCCUGAUGCAGCGACGCCGCGUGAGGGAUGACGGCCUUCGGGUUGUAAACCUCUUUCGCCAGGGACGAAGCGCAAGUGACGGUACCUGGAGAAGAAGGACCGGCCAACUACGUGCCAGCAGCCGCGGUAAUACGUAGGGUCCGAGCGUUGUCCGGAAUUACUGGGCGUAAAGAGCUCGUAGGUGGUUUGUCGCGUUGUUCGUGAAAACUCACAGCUCAACUGUGGGCGUGCGGGCGAUACGGGCAGACUGGAGUACUGCAGGGGAGACUGGAAUUCCUGGUGUAGCGGUGGAAUGCGCAGAUAUCAGGAGGAACACCGGUGGCGAAGGCGGGUCUCUGGGCAGUAACUGACGCUGAGGAGCGAAAGCGUGGGGAGCGAACAGGAUUAGAUACCCUGGUAGUCCACGCCGUAAACGGUGGGUACUAGGUGUGGGUUUCCUUCCUUGGGAUCCGUGCCGUAGCUAACGCAUUAAAGUACCCCGCCUGGGGAGUACGGCCGCAAGGCUAAAACUCAAAGAAAUUGACGGGGGCCCGCACAAGCGGCGGAGCAUGUGGAUUAAUUCGAUGCAACGCGAAGAACCUUACCUGGGUUUGACAUGCACAGGACGUGCCUAGAGAUAGGUAUUCCCUUGUGGCCUGUGUGCAGGUGGUGCAUGGCUGUCGUCAGCUCGUGUCGUGAGAUGUUGGGUUAAGUCCCGCAACGAGCGCAACCCUUAUCUUAUGUUGCCAGCGCGUAAUGGCGGGGACUCGUGAGAGACUGCCGGGGUCAACUCGGAGGAAGGUGGGGAUGACGUCAAGUCAUCAUGCCCCUUAUGUCCAGGGCUUCACACAUGCUACAAUGGCCGGUACAAAGGGCUGCGAUGCCGUGAGGUGGAGCGAAUCCUUUCAAAGCCGGUCUCAGUUCGGAUCGGGGUCUGCAACUCGACCCCGUGAAGUCGGAGUCGCUAGUAAUCGCAGAUCAGCAACGCUGCGGUGAAUACGUUCCCGGGCCUUGUACACACCGCCCGUCACGUCAUGAAAGUCGGUAACACCCGAAGCCGGUGGCCUAA
rnacentral:rRNA from 1 species